UUGUAGUGUGAAGAUGUGUAUUUUGUGUUGCUCUGUAUUCUUGCCGAGUGGCCCUUCGGUGUUCCUGUUAAUUUUGCUGUUUUUGUGUUAACGAAAAGUGUGCCUAAAACAUAUAAUGUGUUAUUGUAAUUCAACAAACACAAUUAUUAAAACUGGAACUAAAAAAAAUGACUAAAUUGAUUUGUCAUUGGAGCAAAAAUCAUUUUGGAGUACAUUUCAUCAAGUUUAUCCAUGGCAAAAACAUUAAUUUUGCUAAUUCAUGUGGAAUAAAAUAUACACAAGCUUCAAUGAUGAAGAAAAGAAAGCUACAGCACCAUUUAACAUACUUGAGACAAACUGAGACUGUUUUUAUGCUUGAAUAUAAUAUGAAAAAUACAAAGUGAAUGAUGUUAAUGUUAAAAGUAUCACAAGACAUAUUGGCUUUAGUUUGUGUUACCAAGUGCUCCAAAAAUUAAGUGAAUUGUUUAUAAACUAUUUGAUUGUUGAACAAUCAUGAAAUAGUUGUUCAACUGGUACACUUGAACCACCACCAACAACAAAAUGCAUCAAGACCGCAUUCACAUGAUAUUAUGCUUCAACAAAGAUGAGUCUCUGAUAAUAAAUUUCAACUCUUUAACUGGAUUUAAAAAUCAUUGAGUUUAAAUGAAUCUCAACACUUGAAGAUCAUGACAUGGUGCUGAUAUGAUUGAUGUUUAUACUCUUGCUAAUGUAACACUUAUUGUUGCUAUCGGAAAACAUUCUGUACCACUUGAUGGUGAGCUUUAUCUGUUUUUAACAAAAAUUAUUUAGUAGACCAUUGAUGUUGCUCAUGAAUCAGCACA